AAAUGAAGGUAGCAUGGUAGUGUGCACAGAAACUGAAUCUUACGAUGGGACGACAUGUCUGCUCUCUCUGAACCUCAUUUCUAUUGGGGCUUUGAUGAGGGGGCCUGGUUUAGUCCCACAUUU
rfam:Gossypium raimondii chromosome 9, whole genome shotgun sequence.